UACGAAGGGGGGCUAGCGUUGCUCGGAAUGACUGGGCGUAAAGGGCGCGUAGGCGGAUGGCUUUGUCGGGCGUGAAAUUCCAGGGCUUAACCUUGGGGCUGCGUUCGAGACGGGUUGUCUUGAGUGGGGAAGAGGGUCGUGGAAUUCCCAGUGUAGAGGUGAAAUGCGCAGAUAUCAGGAGGAACACCGAUGGCGAAGGCAGCUCGCUGGGACGUGACUGACGCUGAGGCACGAAGGCCAGGGGAGCAAACGGGG
rnacentral:rRNA from 1 species